rnacentral:tRNA from 2 species
GCAGUCGUGGCCGAGUGGUUAAGGCGAUGGGCCAGAAAUCCGUUGGUGUCUCUCCGCACAGGUUCGAAUCCUGUCGACUGCG